GGAUUGCCCUAGUAACGGCGAGUGAAGCGGCAACAGCUCAAAUUUGAAAUCUGGCCCUUUUAGGGUCCGAGUUGUAAUUUGUAGAGGGCGCUUUGGUGUUGGCUGCGGUCUAAGUUCCUUGGAACAGGACGUCACAGAGGGUGAGAAUCCCGUACGUGGUCGACAGUCUUCACCGUGUAAAGCCCCUUCGACGAGUCGAGUUGUUUGGGAAUGCAGCUCUAAAUGGGAGGUAAAUUUCUUCUAAAGCUAAAUAUUGGCCAGAGACCGAUAGCGCACAAGUAGAGUGAUCGAAAGAUGAAAAGCACUUUGGAAAGAGAGUCAAAAAGCACGUGAAAUUGUUGAAAGGGAAGCGCUUGCAAUCAGACUUGCCUGUAGUUGCUCAUCUGGACUCUUGUCCGGUGCACUCUUCUGCGGGCAGGCCAGCAUCAGUUCAGGCGGCUGGAUAAAGGCCUCUAUCACGUAUCUUCCUUCGGGAUGACCUUAUAGGGGAGGUGUAAUGCAGCCAGCCUGGAUUGAGGUCCGCGCAUCUGCUAGGAUGCUGGCGUAAUGAUUGUAAGCGGCCCGUCUUGAAACACGGACCAAGGAGUCUAACAUCUAUGCGAGUGUUUGGGUGUCAAGCCCGGACGCGCAAUGAAAGUGAACGGAGGUGGGAACCCUUACGGGUGCACCAUCGACCGAUCCUGAUGUCUUCGGAUGGAUUUGAGUAAGAGCAUAGCUGUUGGGACCCGAAAGAUGGUGAACUAUGCCUGAAUAGGGUGAAGCCAGAGGAAACUCUGGUGGAGGCUCGCAGCGGUUCUGACGUGCAAAUCGAUCGUCAAAUUUGGGCAUAGGGGCGAA
rnacentral:rRNA from 1 species